UCCCUGGUAGCUCAGACGGUAAAGCGUCUGCCUGCAAUGUGGGAGACCUGGGUUCAAUCCCCUGGUCGGGAA
rfam:Ovis aries breed Texel chromosome 12, whole genome shotgun sequence.